rfam:Trypanosoma theileri isolate Edinburgh TM35_Tth_30_V1, whole genome shotgun sequence.
CACCUCAAACACAAAGGUCCCUUGGCGGCUGUAUAAAUCGAUGCUGCUCCACAGGAUACCCACUGAGGCAAGA